CCUACGGGAGGCAGCAGUGAGGAAUAUUGGUCAAUGGCCGGAAGGCUGAACCAGCCAAGUCGCGUGAGGGACGACUGCCCUAUGGGUUGUACACCUCUUUCAUAAGGGAAGAAUAAAUGCUACGUGUAGCAUGAUGCCUGUACCUUAUGAAUAAGCAUCGGCUAACUCCGUGCCAGCAGCCGCGGUAAUACGGAGGAUGCGAGCGUUAUCCGGAUUUAUUGGGUUUAAAGGGUGCGUAGGCGGUUUUUUAAGUGAGUGGUUAAACGUCGGGGCUUCACCUUGAUUUGCCAUUAAUACUGUAAGACUCGAGUUCAGACGAGGUAGGCGGAAUAAGUUAAGUAGCGGUGAAAUGCUUAGAUAUAACUUAGAACUCCGAUAGCGAAGGCAGCCUGCUGGACUGUAACUGACGCUGAUGCUCGAAAGUGUGGGUAUCAAACAGGAUUAGAUACCCGGGUAGUC
rnacentral:rRNA from 1 species